rnacentral:rRNA from 1 species
UACGAAGGGGGCUAGCGUUGCUCGGAAUUACUGGGCGUAAAGGGCGCGUAGGCGGAUAUCUAAGUUGGGGGUGAAAUCCCGGGGCUCAACCUCGGAAUUGCCUUCAAAACUGGAUAUCUUGAGUUCGGGAGAGGUGAGUGGAACUCCGAGUGUAGAGGUGAAAUUCGUAGAUAUUCGGAAGAACACCAGUGGCGAAGGCGACGCACUGGCCCGAUACUGACGCUGAGGCGCGAAAGCGUGGGGAGCAAACAGG